AGCUUCCCCACUAUGGAAGAGAUCAUUCCUCGUAACCCUACUUCUAGGUUCGACUUCUCUAAGGAACUCGCCCUUUAACCGGAGUCUGUGAAACCUGAGAUGGAGGCGAAGCACCUUGUUGCCCUUAGGACCAAAUAUGACAUUCCUGCCCACGUCGACUUGGUCCCGACGGGAGAUGAUGUGGUUCAAGUUCACCGGCCUGGGUAUUGUGCAUUUUAUGCCUACCCAUUCCCGAUAGAUCGUAGGGCUGGCCGGCUGCGAAGUCUCUAUCUGUUAUCUACUGCACCUCUUCGGAUCGAGCUUCCAUAAGGGCACGAUGAUUCACAUCCGCCACCACGGAAAAAAGGGUUGGUGGCGGGGAUGGAUGAUAGGAUGAACCAUUGGUUUUUGGCUCAUUACUUCUUCAUCAAAACCGAGCAUGUAGUGGCGAACCCUAGCGAAUUUCCUAAACAAUGGAAUUUUUCUCCUGAGAAGUACCCCCUUCUUUAGUCGCCGAUAUCAGUGACUGGGUGACUCGCAUCUUGCCUCACACCGUAGGGAUCCAAGACUAGGCGUCCUUCAAUAAGAGGCUCGGGCUCAAGCCUUCGACCGGUAAGUCGGGUUUUUCUCUCAUAACUACUUCGCUCUUGUUGUGGUGUGCUUCUUUCUGCCGCUUAUGGUUUUCUAUUGACGCCAAGUUGGAGAACUUCUAAGAAGGCGAAGGCUCCUAUCCCCGCAUUUCGUCAGGCGGUUGCUUCGACGGGGAUGCAGUUUAUGUUGGUUGAGUCUGCGCGAAAUACUUCUUCCCAUGCUCCGAUUUUAAUCGAGCCUGGUCGUCAGACGGCCACUCCAUCAGUAGAGGUCCCUGUCUGCCCAAUGUUUUAUUUAAUGGACGAAUCUUUCCCCGGUGAGAAGGAAACGACAUCGUUGAUAAGGCGACGAGUAGAGGCUUUGGCUAUGCCUGAGCGGGCAAUAAUUGUGGACGUGCAAAUGCAGAAAAUAUUUAUUGAGUCAUCAAAUACUCCUGCAUUUUUUCUUG